CAAGUCUUCCCAGGCCCACCA
rnacentral:tRNA from 1 species